UGAGUAACCUGCCCCAAACUCUGGGAUAAGCACUGGAAACGGUGUCUAAUACCGGAUACGAGCUUCAGCCGCAUGGCUAGGAGUUGGAAAGAAUUUCGGUUUGGGAUGGACUCGCGGCCUAUCAGCUAGUUGGUGAGGUAAUGGCUCACCAAGGCGACGACGGGUAGCCGGCCUGAGAGGGUGACCGGCCACACUGGGACUGAGACACGGCCCAGACUCCUACGGGAGCAG
rnacentral:rRNA from 1 species